rnacentral:rRNA from 1 species
AUGUCCCGCCUCCGCCUCCGCCACUGCUCCACCACGCCCAUGUCCCGCCUCCGCCGCCGCCGCCGCCUCUCCUCUUCCACCUCACGACCCACACCCUCCUGGUCUCCCCGCGCCGCCUUUGCGGCGGCCACGGAGCGCGUCCGCGACGGAACGCUCGGCCCUCAAGACGCACACCACCUGUUCGACGAAUUGUUUCAGCAGGCCACCCCGGUCCCCGAGCGCCCCCUCAACGGAUUCCUUGCCGCCCUCACCCGUGCCACGCCCUCCGAGGCCUGCAGAGACGGCCCCGCCCUCGCCCUCUCCCUCUUCAACCGUGUCUGCCGAGAAGAAGCCGGCAUGCGGGUGGCGCCGCCCACCAUCUUCACCUACGGCGUCCUCAUGAACUGCUGCUGCCACACGCGUCGUCCGGAACUUGGGCUCGCCUUCUUCGGCCGCCUCCUAAGGACGGGCCUGAAGGCAGACAAGACCGUCGCCAACACUGUCCUCAAGUGCCUGUGCUGCGCUAAACGGACAGACGACGCUGUGAAAGUGCUGCUUCAUAGGAUGACCGAGCUGGGGUGUGUGCCUGAUGCCUUCUCAUACGCCAUUGUCCUGAAGAGCUUAUGUGAUGAUAACAGGAGCCAGCAGGCGCUCGACCUGCUCCGGAUGAUGGCGAAAGAAGAAGGUGUGUGCUCCCCUGACGUGGUCACAUAUAACACGGUCAUCCACGGCUUCUUUAAGGAAGGAAAAAUAGGCAAGGCAUGCAAUCUAUUCCAUGAAAUGACGAAGCAAGGGUUUGUGCCUAAUGUGGUGACAUAUAACUCGGUUAUCAAUGCAUUGUGCAAGGCCCGAGCAACGGACAAUGCAGAGUUGUUCCUUCGGCAGAUGGUUGAUAACGGCGUUCAACCGAAUAAAGUGACAUAUACUAGCAUGAUCCAUGGAUAUUCCACUUUGGGCCGGUGGAAAGAGGCGACUAAACUGUUCAGAGAAAUGACAAGCAGUGGUCUUAUACCAGAUAUUGUCACUUGGAACUCGUUCAUUGACUCCCUUUGCAAGCAUGGAAGAAGCAAAGAAGCUGCUGAAAUUUUUGAUUCCAUGGCUGCCAAGGGCCACAGACCUAAUAUUGUUACGUAUGGCAUUCUGCUCCACGGGUAUGCAAGGGAAGGAUGCUUUGCUGAUAUGAUGAGUCUCUUUAAUUCAAUGGAAGGCGACGGUAUUGUAGCCAACUGCCUUGUUUUCACCAUUUUAAUUGAUGCAUAUGCUAAACGAGGAAUGAUGGAUGAAGCUAUGCUCAUACUUACUGAAAUGCAGGGACAAGGACUGAGUCCGGAUGUAUUCACCUAUUCAACUCUAAUAUCUGCACUUUGCAGAAAGGGGAAGCUCGCUGAUGCUAUGGAUAAGUUAAGUGAGAUGAUUGGUACGGGAGUACAACCGAAUACAGUUGUUUAUCACUCCCUAAUUCAGGGUUUCUGUACACAUGGCGAUCUGGUGAAAGCAAAGGAGUUGGUUUAUGAAAUGAUGACCAAAGGUAUUCCUUGUCCAAACACUGCAUUCUUCAGUUCAAUAGUACACAGUCUAUGCAAAGAAGGAAGGGUUAUGGAUGCACACCAUAUCUUUGACUUGGUUAAAGACAUAGGGGAGAGAUCUGACAUCAUUAUGUUUAAUACGCUGAUUGAUGGAUAUUGCCUAGUCGGUGAGAUGGGCAAAGCAUUCAGUGUACUAGAUGUCAUGAUAUCAGCCGGCAUUGAGCCUGACAUCUUUACAUAUAAUACACUUGUCAAUGGUUAUUUUAAGAGUGGAAGGAUCGAUGAUGGGUUGAAUCUGUUCAGAGAAAUGUCACAUAAGGAAAUUAAACCUACAACUGUUACAUAUAACAUCAUACUGGAUGGAUUAUUUCGUGCUGGGAGAACAGUUGCUGCCAAGAAAAUGCUCCAUGAGAUGAUCGGAUGUGGAACAACAGUGAGCUUGUCCACAUACACCAUAAUUCUUAGAGGACUUUGUAGAAAUAAUUGCACCGACGAAGCAAUCGUCAUGUUCCAGAAAUUACGCACAAUUAAUGUAAAGUUCAAUAUCACAACACUCAAUACCAUGAUUAAUUCAAUGUACACGGUUCAGAGAAGAGAAGAAGCUAAAGAUUUGUUUGCUGCAAUAUCAGACAGCGGGUUGGUGCCCAAUGCCUCUACAUACGGCAUAAUGAUACGAAAUCUUCUAAAAGAAGGAUCAGUGGAAGAAGCUGACAAUAUGUUCUCAUCAAUGGAGAAGAGUGGUUGUGCUCCUUGCUCUCGUCUUUUAAAUGAUACCAUUAGAACGUUAUUGGAGAAGGGGGAGAUAGUCAAGGCCGGAAAUUAUAUGUCUAAAGUUGAUGGCAAGAGCAUCUCACUUGAAGCUUCAACUAGUUCAUUGUUGUUGUCUCUGUUUUCUGGGAAAGGUAAAUAUCGUGAACAAAUACAAUUGCUCCCUGUAAAGUACCAAUUCUUUGAUGGAGUUAGUUGA